UACGAAGGGUGCAAGCGUUACUCGGAAUUACUGGGCGUAAAGCGUGCGUAGGCGGUUCGUUAAGUCCGUUGUGAAAGCCCUGGGCUCAACCUGGGAAUGGCAGUGGAUACUGGCGAGCUAGAGUGUGAUAGAGGAUGGUGGAAUUCCCGGUGUAGCGGUGAAAUGCGUAGAUAUCUGGAGGAACACCGGUGGCGAAGGCGGCAUCCUGGACCGGCAUUGACGCUGAGGAGCGAAAGCCAGGGGAGCAAACGGG
rnacentral:rRNA from 1 species